ACAAACUUGGUCAUUUAGAGGAAGUAAAAGUCGUAACAAGGUUUCCGUAGGUAAGUAAAGAAUCGUUCUCCGAACUUUUUUAUUCAGUGAAACAGUUAUACUAACGUGACAUUUUAGGUGAACCUGCGGAAGGAUCAUUAUCGAGUUAGGGUCUCUCGGCCCGACCUCCCAACCCUUUGUCUACUUGACCUUAUGUUGCUUCGGCGAGCCCGUCCCUCACAGGCCGCCGGAGGGUCGCUCUUUGCGCCCUCUGGCCAGUGCUCGCCGAUGGCCUUUUUCAAAAUUCUUUUAACAAAACGUGUCUCGAUCUGAGUUAUAAAACAAAAAUAAAAGCAAAACUUUCAACAACGGAUCUCUUGGUUCUGGCAUCGAUGAAGAACGCAGC
rnacentral:misc_RNA from 1 species